CAUGAAGGGAUUGCUUGCGGCUAUUAUGUGAUGAGGUUUAUGUACGAUAUAAUUUCUUCUUGCACGGAAUUUGAUGAUCUAGAGAAGAUUUACAACACGCCAAAGGAGGAGUCGUUCACUAUUGAGGAAAUCAAUGAAGUUCGAGACAAGUUUGCUUCCUUCCUUACUGAUAGUUGUCUUUGAUUUUGAUAUUUAGUUACUUAUGAUGUAAACACAUACUUUGAAUUUAGAGUAGUAUUUUGUAAUUCAAUUCUACACUUCAUAUAAUAUAAUUUUAAUUUGAAAGUUAA